UUCGACGAGUUCGGUCGAAUUUAUUUUUAACCAGACGAUUCGGGAGAAAUGUUUUAGCAGGGACCCGCGGGAUUAAUAUGGAAAAACCUUGCCCGGCAAAUAUCUUUAAAAUCCAUCCGGAGUUUUAAUCACCAGACAGCCGGCGAAACCAAUAAAACUAACCGCCGUUAUACAUACAUACAUACAUAUAUACGUAUGUAUAUACGUAUUGAAACAAAAAAAAAAAACGAGGCCAUUGUCCAUUAUUUCGUUAUUUUCAUAUUUACCGGGAAAACAGGAUAUAUCGGAGAUUAAAGGGAGAGGAGAGAUAUCUUGAUUACAAUUACCUCCAAUCGCAUAAAAAAUAAAGAAAAAAAAAAAAAAAAAAGAAAGAAAGAAUUUUCCGGGACAAAAUAAUAAAUUUGUAUAGGUUGUUCGACGACAAGAUAAAUCAGAGUCUCGCGAAAAAUUGCGGUGCGUUGCUAGGGAGCGGAAGAACGGAGAUACGAGAAUAUUUAAAUGAGACACGCGCUUCGAAACUCACCCUCGCCUCGAUCCUUAUCGCUCCUUUUUUCUUUCUCUUUUUUUUUUGCACAUGGGGUGCAACUGUAUCAGGCGUCAUAAAAGUUUGCUCGUUGCGAGUCCCGUCAGAAUCGUGGACGAGAGAGAGAGAGAGAGAGAGAAAGAGGGAGAAGGAGGAAGGGGUGGAUAAGAGUGAAAGGGAGAAGAGAGGGCGCGAGUUGUGGGUGGAGAGAUCCUGUUAUACACAGUCUGUAUCAUCACUUUGCGAUGUACUUGCGAGCUUUUCCCGCCUCGUUUAACACGGCCCAUUCAUAAUAGGGUGACGGGCGUAAAAGUAUUGCCGGUUAUCGCGGUGGCCGCACCACGUACCUCGCCAAACAUUGUCCGACCUCCGAUUUACCACCUCUACCAGCCACCAGCGAGAGGGACACCUAUUGUCCCGAGUUACGAUGCGCCGAGGUCGGCCGCCCACGGGCCGACACUUUUACGGGCCGACCUCAUAAUUGCCAGAUUGCUGAACGACAAAACUGGCUAUCCCCCCCUCUACACCGCCUUCUACACCAGUGAACGAGAAAUAACGCGAUAAAUCUCGUUACGAAGCCAUAGUCUCUCCUCGUUCGUAUUCAAUAUCGCGUUCGGUUUUUUAAAAUUACGGAGCAAGUAGCCUCAUUGAUUACGAGCAGGUCGAUCUUCUCUUUCUUUUUUGCCGAUCAACAAGGUUUAAAGCGGAUUUUUUAGCGGACGAAAAAAUGUUUAGAGAGGGAGAGAUAACAGUAACAGUUUGGAAUUAUUAAUAAAAUAUUUAGAAACUUUUUUUAAUUUUCUCGUUCCUGUGGAAAGAUAUUUACAUUGUUACGAGUAAAAUUCGCAUUUCAACCCAUUUUCCAUUUCCUGCGAAUUACUUCUCCAUCGAGAAGUAUCUAUCUUCCAUCUCUUUGUUUACCGCUGAAAUCCAGUUUAUCGUAUCGUUACGUCUACCCUCCAGAGAUCCAGGGAUCGUUUAUCAAAGUCCGUUGUAUCACGAUGAUAGAAAUCCUUUGAGAUGCAUGCGUAUCCACGUUUAAGUUCCUCCUUAGGGGGCGCGCGCCUAAUCGGAAAGUUUGAUUUAAACGAGAGAGAGAGAGAGAGAGGUGGUGGUGGUGGUGGUGGCCGCUUUGUCUUCCUGUCGAUUUAAGGAGAGAGGGAGGGAGGUAACACGCAGCGCCGUGGAAAGAUCGGGGGAGGCGAAACUUCAUCGACACGGGCCAACUUUUCCACGAACUUGGCGAAUUUAUUUCACGGCCGUAUCAGACACGCUGAUCCCUGGGAGCUUUCGAGGAGCUUUCAGAUUCGCAUCGACCGACUUUCACAUCGCCCGAUGUUUCGAGUUCACCGGUGUUUCUCGGUUCGAAGUUACUGUUCGACGAACAGGCCGAGACACGGGAGCAAUCGUUCGGUCGUUAAGGCGUCCAAAUCUCUUAACGUCGUUCGCCUUUCGCACAGUUGAAGUUAAGGGAAUUCCGGGGACGUUCCCGGAUUUUAUCAAUUCCCGGAUAAAAGACAGCGGUUCUGCCGCUUCGGAAAUUUCCUCCGGAAAAGAUCGGAAUGCUUCGCUUUGAGAAUUGUUUGCUUUUGACAAUUUCAACUCUCGAGAGCUAUAUCGAAAUAUUUAAGCUUUUCGAGCUAGAAGUUGGAAAUUCCUGUAUAUUAUAGCUUUUCUAGAGAAUUCGGGUCUAAUUUAAUUAAAUUAAAUUCCUUUCCAAUAAGAGCGAUAAUGAUGAAUAAUGGAAAAAAACUUUUUCCUUAGAUCGAGAAAAAGGAAGAGGGUAACGAAACUUGGCGAGGAUUCGGCGAGCGUUGUAAUUAAUGAUAGGAGAAAAAAAGUUGCAUGCCAUCGUGGAGCGGCAAUAACAAAUUUCGCCUACCUGAUUUUGAAUAUAUUCCAACCUUCGUUCGACGGCUCUCCCCGCCACAAAAGGUCGACACACCUGCGAUCGCAAUUUCACCACGAUCCACCCACCGAUAGUCAAAUUGUGAAACAAGUUGAAAGUAUUAUUGCUUAUACUUUAAUGUAUCAUUAUAUCGUAUCGAAUGUUUUACGUAAGGAUCGCGACCUCGAGGUAAGUAAGUCACUUUCGGUGCUCAACGGGAGACGAAUCAAGGUUUUACAUCAAAUUAUAAUUAUAUUAGACCGAAAGUCCCCGAAACAAGAACGGUGUUGGAAUCCCGUUGGAAGAGCGAAACGAACGAAUGCGCAAAAAAUAUUCAAGAAUAUACUCGCUCCCCUUUCUUUCGUCGUUUCUCUCCUCCACGGGACGUAAGCUGUAAGAGAAUUGUAAAUAGCUCAGUGUAUAAAUUUCAGUUCCAGGAUUCAUUGUAUAAACAUUAUAAAUACCUCUGAAAGAUGUGAAUUCGCUCGAUAUAUCCCCCG
rnacentral:lncRNA from 1 species